rnacentral:rRNA from 1 species
AAAAUUCCGAGGACCUCGGUUCUUGGAUUCAAAGCAGUAAUGCGUCAGAGGAGGAGCCCGCGCCCGAUUAGCUAGUUGGUGAGGUAACGGCUCACCAAGGCAAUGAUCGGUAGCUGGUCUGAGAGGAUGAUCAGCCACACUGGAACUGAGACACGGUCCAGACUCCUACGGGAGGCAGCAGUGGGGAAUCUUGCACAAUGGGCGAAAGCCUGAUGCAGCGACGCCGCGUGGGGGAUGAAGCUUUUCGGAGUGUAAACCCCUUUCGACUGGGAAGAAAACCCGCAAGGGAUUGACGGUACCAGUAUAAGAAGCCCCGGCUAACUACGUGCCAGCAGCCGCGGUAAGACGUAGGGGGCCAGCGUUGUUCGGAAUUACUGGGUGUAAAGGGUUCGUAGGCGGUGCGGCAAGUCGGGAGUGAAAUCUCUGGGCUCAACCCAGAGGCUGCUUCGAAACUGCUGUGCUUGAGUGUGAGAAAAGCUCGUGGAAUUGCAGGUGUAACG